AAUAAUUAUUAGUAUAUUAACACAUUAACCUCUCCCAGAUGGACAAAAACUGAACUUUAAUAAUAUAGAACAGUGGUUCUCAACCUGUGGGUGGAGACCCCUCUGGGGUUGACUGACCCUUUCACAGGAGUCACCUAAAACCAUUGGAAACACAUGUAUUUACAUUAAGAUUCAUAACAGUAGAAAAAUUGCAGUUAUGAAGUAGCAACAAAAAUAACUUUAUGGUUGGGGAUCACUACAACAUGAGGAACUGUAUUAAUGGGUUGCAGUAUUAGGAAGGUUGAGAAACAUUAAUAUAGAAUAUGGUGUAAUGGAGCAAAACAUGAGUACCAUAGAACUAGAUUAAGGUUAACUAUAGGAAUGAAGGAGGGAUGUACCUAGGAAUAGAGAAACAGUCUGAAACAAGCAAAAGUCCCUUUAUGCCAAACCAAGAAAAGAAAUUCAAAGGUUAUUCUGUUACAGGAAAGGUAGUGUGAUGGUUUGAAUAAGAAUGGCCCUAGGUCCUCUCUCUCUCUUCUGCAGCCGAGCAAGAUGCCCAAGGAAAAGAAGGCCAAGGGGAAGAAGGUGGCCCGGCCCCCGCCAUCGUGAAGAAACAGGAGGCCAAGAAGGUGGUGAACCCUUUGUUUGAGAAGAGCCCUUAGAACUUCGGCAUUGGGCAGGACAUCCAGCCCAAACAAGACCUCACAUGCUUCGUCAAAUGGCCCCUGUACAUUCGGCUGCAGCGGCAAAGGGCCAUCCUCUAUAAGCGGCUUAAAGUUCCUCCUGCCAUUAACCAGUUCACCCAGGCCCUGGACCGGCAAACAGCUACCCAGCUGCUCAAGCUUGCCCACAAGUACAAGCCAGGAGAAGAAGCAAAGACUGUUGGCCGGUGCUGAGAAGAAGGCUGCUGGCAAAGGGGAUGUCCCAACUAAGAGGCCACCUGUUCUUCGAGCAGGAGUCAAUACAGUCACCACCUUGGUGGAGAACAAGGGAAAAGCCAGGCUGGGACGACUGGUCCACAGGAAAACAUGUACCACCGUUGCCUUCACACAGGUUAACUCGGAAGACAAGGGUGCUCUGGCUAAGCUGGUGGAAGCUAUUAGGACCAAUUACGACAGCUAUGAUGAGAUCCAACGCCACUGGGGAGGCAAUGUCCUGGGUCCUAAAUCUGUGGCUCAAAUUGACAAGCUGGACAAGGCAAAGGCUAAAGAACUCUCUACUAAACUGGGUUAAAUGUACAAUCACCGCUAAGUUUUCUGUACAUAAAUACAAAAAAAAAAAAAAAGAAUGGCCCUAGGGAAUGUCACUAUUUGAAAGAAUUAAGAUUAUGAGGUGUGACCUUGUUAGAAGAAGUGUGUCUCUGGGGGUGGGCUUUGAGGUUUCAAAAGCCCAUGUCAAGC
rnacentral:lncRNA from 1 species